GCGGCCGCGGGCGACUCCUGGUACCCCCGAGGCCCCGCGAACUCACCUUCACAAAGCUGUCGGCGUCCGGGAAGCCUGGCAGCACCAUCUCUCCGUCGGAUUUGGUUGCGCUGGUCGCCGACAGGACCCUGGGCUCCCGGGUACUGGGUGGCGCCAUUUUUUCAGCCUGCACGGCUCGUCUCGCGAGAGCUUGUCGGCCGAGGAGACGGGACGCGUGCGCACCACGCAUGCGCCAGGUAAGCUCCUGAAGAAAGCGUCUAGCUCCAACUGUGCUUCCUCCCUCCAGUACCCUCUGAACUCCUCCAAGCAGACGUUGUUUCCUGCAGACAUCGCUGGAACCAUUCUGGUUAACACAGAGUGGGAACUCAGUACACAUUUGUGAAGUGAACUCCUGGAAGAGCUCUUGUGAGGGAGGCACCGAAUUAUCAGGCAGCUCAAGAGAUAGAUUCACUCUCCUGAAAUUAGAGAUGGGAUGCCCUUAAUACAA
rnacentral:lncRNA from 1 species